rnacentral:rRNA from 1 species
ACACAUGGGAUAAAUGGGAUUGCAUCCAAUCUCAUCCAAUAUUGGAAUGUAAGCAGAGUUGUGCAUGGUUAAUACUUGGAUGGGAGAUUGCAUGGGAAUACUGGGUGCUAUAAGUU